rnacentral:rRNA from 1 species
AGACCCUCGACCUUAGUUGCCAGCAUUCAGUUGGGCACUCUAAGGUGACUGCCGGCUAAAAGUCGGAGGAAGGUGGGGAUGACGUCAAAUCAUCAUGCCCCUUAUGACCUGGGCUACACACGUGCUACAAUGGGCGGUACAAAGGGUCGCGAACCCGCGAGGGGGAGCCAAUCCCAAAAAGCCGCUCUCAGUUCGGAUUGCAGGCUGCAACUCGCCUGCAUGAAGCCGGAAUCGCUAGUAAUCGCGGAUCAGCAUGCCGCGGUGAAUACGUUCCCGGGCCUU